AGUAAUUCCAUUGUCUUUAUUUGACCAUUUCAUUUGUCCAACAAGCUCUCUAAUUCAAAUGUCCCUUGUACAUAGAAUUAUCAAUAGUUAAUUAACAACAAAGUACUAUACUUGUUUCUGAAAUAUAUUUAACAAAAGUAAAAUGUGAAGAAUGAUAAUGUGGAUCAAUACUAUCUUUGUUUUAUUUUAAUCCCAGAUUUCCCCCCUAUGUUUUUCUGGGUGCUCUAAACCUGAUUGAGGCAAAAUAAAAGCAUUGUUACCUUCUGACCACUAGAUGGAGAACAGGUACUGCUGUUGACAACUUGAUCAUGCCACAAACCUCUAAAUGCCUCCACAUCAGCAAUUGUUCAGCUGACUGGACAGCAGCGAGUUCGGUCACACAGAAGUAAUGUAAAGAAAUAACACCAAUAACACUGACAGACAGAGGAGGGGCAUGUCUUUCCCCAGUGGAAAUCCUGGAAAGAGCCUUUACUGACAGAACCACUCUGUAGGAUGCAG